UGAGGAACAUGACCUUCGGCGGGGGAUAGCCGGCCCAACGGCCGGGUAAUACCGCGUACGACCACUCGGGGACAUCCCCAGGUGGUGAAAGCAGCAAUGCGCCGAUGGAGUGCCUCGCGGCCUAUCAGCUAGUUGGUGAGGUAACGGCUCACCAAGGCGACGACGGGUAGCUGGUCUGAGAGGAUGGCCAGCCACAUUGGGACUGAGACACGGCCCAGACUCCUACGGGAGCAG
rnacentral:rRNA from 1 species